rnacentral:ncRNA from 2 species
AAUCUCCCCGCCCCUCGUGGUGCUCGUCUCUGACGGGUUAAACGGGAAGCCGGUGCGUCCCCGCGACCAUUCCGGCACUGCCCCCGCAACGGUGAUCACGUCGUGAUGCCGACUGACAGCCACUGGGCCUCGGCCCGGGAAGGCGUCGGCAUCCGCCGGCCUCGUGCCGGCAACGUGUCAGUCCGGAUACCGGCCACGAGAUCGUCCCCCCA